rnacentral:rRNA from 1 species
UACGUAGGGGGCAAGCGUUGUCCGGAUUUACCGGGCGUAAAGAGCGUGUAGGCGGCCACGCAGGUCCGUUGUGAAAACUGGAGGCUCAACCUCCAGCUGUCGACGGAAACCGUAUGGCUAGAGUCCGGAAGAGGAGAGUGGAAUUCCUGGUGUAGCGGUGAAAUGCGCAGAUAUCAGGAAGAACACCAAUGGCGAAGGCAGCUCUCUGGGACGGUACUGACGCUGAGACGCGAAAGCGUGGGGAGCAAACAGG